rnacentral:rRNA from 1 species
GAUGAACGCUGGCAGCAUGCUUAACACAUGCAAGUCAACUGGAAUUUGGGUUCUUAUCUUAGGUUCGGGUGGCGGACGCGUGAGUAACGCGCAAAGAACUUGCCUCCCAGCUAGGGACAACACUUGGAAACGAAUGCUAUUACCCAAUAUUAUGAUAAUAGCGCCUCCUAUAAUUAUGAAAGCUAUAAGCGCUGUGAGAGAGCUUGGCGUCCAAUAAGCUAGUUGGUGAGGUAGCGGCUCACCAAGGCGAUGAUGGGUAGCCGGCCUGAGAGGGUGAUCGGCACAUAGGGAAUGAGGACACGGCCAUUAUCCUUACGGGGGGCAGCGGUGGGGAAAAUGGGAAAAGGGAGCAAGAGUGAGGUAGAGAAAUUGUGUGUGGGAGAAGGAGUUUUUCGGAAUGUACAGUGUUUGCAGUUGAGGAGGAAGAAGUGACGGUAACGGCAGAAGAAGCGACGGCUAAAUACGUG